GACGAACGCUGGCGGCGUGCUUAACACAUGCAAGUCGAACGGAAAGGCCCUGCUUGCAGGGUACUCGAGUGGCGAACGGGUGAGUAACACGUGGGUGAUCUGCCCUGCACUUCGGGAUAAGCUUGGGAAACUGGGUCUAAUACCGGAUAGGACCGCACUUUAGUGUGUUUGGUGGAAAGUUUUUUCGGUGUAGGAUGAGCUCGCGGCCUAUCAGCUUGUUGGUGGGGUAAUGGCCUACCAAGGCGGCGACGGGUAGCCGGCCUGAGAGGGUGUACGGCCACAUUGGGACUGAGAUACGGCCCAGACUCCUACGGGAGGCAGCAGUGGGGAAUAUUGCACAAUGGGCGCAAGCCUGAUGCAGCGACGCCGCGUGGGGGAUGAAGGCCUUCGGGUUGUAAACUCCUUUCGCUAGGGACGAAGCUUUUUGUGACGGUACCUAGAUAAGAAGCACCGGCUAACUACGUG
rnacentral:rRNA from 1 species